AAGCUGUGAUGGGGAGGGAAAUAAUAGUACCGAAGUUCCUGAUGUCACACUGCCGAGAAAAGCUUCUAGUGAGAAAACAGCGGCCCGUACCGCAAACCGACACAGGUAGUCGAGGAGAGAAUCCUAAGGUGAGCGAGAGAACUCUCGUUAAGGAACUCGGCAAAAUGACCCCGUAACUUCGGGAGAAGGGGUGCUGAUCAUACGAUCAGCCGCAGUGAAUAGGCCCAAGCGACUGUUUAUCAAAAACACAGGUCUCUGCAAAAUCGUAAGAUGAAGUAUAGGGGCUGACGCCUGCCCGGUGCUGGAAGGUUAAGAGGAGUGCUUAGCGCAAGCGAAGGUACGAAUUGAAGCCCCAGUAAACGGCGGCCGUAACUAUAACGGUCCUAAGGUAGCGAAAUUCCUUGUCGGGUAAGUUCCGACCCGCACGAAAGGCGUAACGAUUUGGGCACUGUCUCAACGAGAGACUCGGUGAAAUUUUAGUACCUGUGAAGAUGCAGGUU
rnacentral:rRNA from 1 species